UCUUCGGAGAGUUUGAUCCUGGCUCAGGACGAACGCUGGCGGCGUGCCUAAUACAUGCAAGUCGAGCGAAUCGAUGGGAGCUUGCUCCCUGAGAUUAGCGGCGGACGGGUGAGUAACACGUGGGCAACCUGCCUAUAAGACUGGGAUAACUUCGGGAAACCGGAGCUAAUACCGGAUACGUUCUUUUCUCGCAUGAGAGAAG
rnacentral:rRNA from 3 species